UACGGAGGGUGCGAGCGUUGUCCGGAAUCAUUGGGCGUAAAGGGCGCGUAGGCGGCGCGGGAAGUCAUCGGUGAAAGUUCAGGGCUCAACUCUGAAUCGGCCGGUGAUACUCUCGUGCUUGAGCACUGUAGAGGCAGGUGGAAUUCCGGGUGUAGCGGUGGAAUGCGUAGAGAUCCGGAAGAACACCGGUGGCGAAGGCGGCCUGCUGGGCAGUAGCUGACGCUGAUGCGCGACAGCGUGGGGAGCAAACAGG
rnacentral:rRNA from 1 species